AAUACAUGCAAGUCGAGCGGACAGAUGGGAGCUUGCUCCCUGAUGUUAGCGGCGGACGGGUGAGUAACACGUGGGUAACCUGCCUGUAAGACUGGGAUAACUCCGGGAAACCGGGGCUAAUACCGGAUGCUUGAUUGAACCGCAUGGUUCAAUUAUAAAAGGUGGCUUUUAGCUACCACUUACAGAUGGACCCGCGGCGCAUUAGCUAGUUGGUGAGGUAACGGCUCACCAAGGCAACGAUGCGUAGCCGACCUGAGAGGGUGAUCGGCCACACUGGGACUGAGACACGGCCCAAACUCCUACGGGAGGCAGCAGUAGGGAAUCUUCCGCAAUGGACGAAAGUCUGACGGAGCAACGCCGCGUGAGUGAUGAAGGUUUUCGGAUCGUAAAACUCUGUUGUUAGGGAAGAACAAGUACCGUUCGAAUAGGGCGGUACCUUGACGGUACCUAACCAGAAAGCCACGGCUAACUACGUGCCAGCAGCCGCGGUAAUACGUAGGUGGCAAGCGUUGUCCGGAAUUAUUGGGCGUAAAGCGCGCGCAGGCGGUUUCUUAAGUCUGAUGUGAAAGCCCCCGGCUCAACCGGGGAGGGUCAUUGGAAACUGGGGAACUUGAGUGCAGAAGAGGAGAGUGGAAUUCCACGUGUAGCGGUGAAAUGCGUAGAGAUGUGGAGGAACACCAGUGGCGAAGGCGACUCUCUGGUCUGUAACUGACGCUGAGGCGCGAAAGCGUGGGGAGCGAACAGGAUUAGAUACCCUGGUAGUCCACGCCGUAAACGAUGAGUGCUAAGUGUUAGAGGGUUUCCGCCCUUUAGUGCUGCAGCAAACGCAUUAAGCACUCCGCCUGGGGAGUACGGUCGCAAGACUGAAACUCAAAGGAAUUGACGGGGGCCCGCACAAGCGGUGGAGCAUGUGGGUUAAUUCGAAGCAACGCGAAGACCCUUACCAGGUCUUGACAUCCUCUGACAACCCUAGAGAUAGGGUUCCCCUUCGGGGGGCAGAGUGACAGGUGGUGCAUG
rnacentral:rRNA from 1 species